rnacentral:rRNA from 1 species
UACAGAGGUCCCAAGCGUUGUUCGGAUUCAUUGGGCGUAAAGGGUGCGUAGGUGGCGCCGUAAGUGGGGUGUGAAAUUUCGGAGCUUAACUCCGAAACUGCAUUCCAUACUGCGGUGCUUGAGGACUGGAGAGGAGACUGGAAUUCAUGGUGUAGCAGUGAAAUGCGCAGAUAUCAGGAGGAACGACCGGUGGCGAAGGCGGGGUCUCUGGGCCGAUACUGACGCUGAGGAGCGAAAGCGUGGGGAGCGAACAGG